rnacentral:rRNA from 1 species
AACGGCUGCAACUUCCACCCUGUAGCCUAAUCUCAUCAGAUCUCAGGAACUAAGCAAGGCAGGCCCUGGUCAGUCCAGGCAUGAGAGACCCCUAAGGAAAACCAGGUCGCUGCUGGAA